rnacentral:rRNA from 1 species
AACGAACGCUGGCGGCGUGCCUAACACAUGCAAGUCGAACGAGAAAGGGGCUUCGGCUCCGAGUAAAGUGGCGCACGGGUGAGUAAUACGUGGGUAACCUGCCUCUAAGACCGGGACAACUUGUCGAAAGACGAGCUAAUACCGGAUAAGACCACAGUUCCCGAGGGGACAGGGGUCAAAGGUAGCCUCUAUUUAUAAGCAAUCACUUAGAGAUGGGCCCGCGCACCAUUAGCUAGUUGGUGGGGUAAUGGCCCACCAAGGCAAAGAUGGUUAGCUGGUCUGAGAGGAUGAUCAGCCACACUGGAACUGAGACACGGUCCAGACUCCUACGGGAGGCAG